CAGCGCCACGUUGGACGUUGUGGCCCGGGGCGCGGGAGGAGGAAGGAGAGCGAGGGCUGGGCGUUUGUGGAGAGCCAGACCAUGAAGCAGUCCUGUGAGGAGACCCAUGGGCUAGAGACUGGGCCCUGCCAACAGCCAUGUGAGUGAACUAGAAGCUGAUUCGUGGCCCCCACACCAGAUGAGAGCCCAGCCCUGGCUGACAGCUUGCCUGUAACCUCCUGAGAGACUCUGAGCCCCAGGAACCCAGCCAAACCACCUUGGAUUCCUACCCACCAAGAUGUGGGCAGUUUUUCAAAUGGACUGUAACAGAAGCUUCUCUGUUUGCAUUGGGAGUCACCUCAGGUUUACAUUCAGAAAACUGAAUAAAAAUGUGGGCAGCAAACAACUCAGCUAAAGCAGAGGAAUGAAAAGAAGUUUUUUGAUGAGGAUUUUGCAGAAUAAUGGCACAGAACCAUUAUUAUGCAGAAGGUCUUGGUGGCUUCCUGGGAAGGUGGGUGUUUGUGUCUCCUUGCCCCAGGUCGUCAUUCCCGAAGAUUUGGAUGACCCUUCAUCCCUCAAGCAAAACUACACACAUAAGGCACAGGAUCCUUGCACACUGGCCUCACUUAGACUGGGGUGCUUUUCCAGUAAGUUCUUCUUUUCUGACUUCAUGUGCUAUUUGAAGUUAUUUAAACCAAACCCAAACAGACCAAACAGAAAUUCCAUAAAAGGUGAUGGCUGCUGGAGCUUACCCAGUAAUAUUUAUUAUGCCAGUUUCUGCACAGAAAGAUGUUCUACAUUUGUUAACUAUGCAUUUUGCCAAAAGUCAAAAGGAAG